rnacentral:rRNA from 1 species
UACGUAGGGGGCGAGCGUUAUCCGGAUUUACUGGGCGUAAAGCGCGUUAAGGCGGUUGGCAAAGUUGGUUGUGAAAUCUCAGGGCUCAACCCUGAAAUUGCGACCAAUACUGGUCGACUAGAGUGUGAGAGAGGAAGGUGGAAUUCCCGGUGUAGUAGUGAAAUGCGUAGAUAUCAGGAGGAACACCUGCGGUGUAGACGGCUUUCUGGACCAUUGUUGACGCUGAGACACGAAAGCGUGGGUAGCAAACAGG